GUGCCAGCAGCCGCGGUAAUACGGAGGGUGCAAACGUUGCUCGGAAUCAUUGGGCGUAAAGCGCACGUAGGCGGUUCGUUAUGUCGGAUGUGAAAUCCCUCGGCUCAACCGAGGAAGGGCAUCCGAAACUGGCGUGCUUGAGUAUGGAAGAGGGUCUCGGAAUUCCCGGUGUAGAGGUGAAAUUCGUAGAUAUCGGGAGGAACACCAGUGGCGAAGGCGGAGACCUGGGCCAAUACUGACGCUGAGGUGCGAAAGCGUGGGGAGCAAACAGGAUUAGAAACCCUCGUAGUCC
rnacentral:rRNA from 1 species